rnacentral:ribozyme from 1 species
GGAAGAGCCUGGUGCCCACACUAUUCGAGACGGCGGAGGAGAGGGCCAACAGAUUGGGCGAGGAGUUUCAGG